rnacentral:rRNA from 1 species
UACAGAGGUCUCAAGCGUUGUUCGGAUUCAUUGGGCGUAAAGGGUGUGUAGGUGGCGCGCUAAGUCGGGUGUGAAAACCCGGGGCUCAACCCCGGGCGUGCAGUGGAUACGGGCUGGCUGGAGGCAGGCAGGGGAGAACGGAAUUCCUGGUGUAGCGGUGAAAUGCGCAGAUAUCAGGAGGAACACCGGUGGCGAAGGCGGUUCUCUGGGCCUGUUCUGACGCUGAGGAGCGAAAGCGUGGGGAGCGAACAGG